rnacentral:rRNA from 1 species
GUUUGAUCCUGGCUCAGGAUGAACGCUGGCGGCGUGCCUAAUACAUGCAAGUCGAACGCGCUGUGGCAAUUAUUGAGAAGCUUGCUUCAAUUUAAUUGCAAUGCAGCGAGUGGCGAACGGGUGAGUAACACGUGGGAAACCUACCUCUUAGCAGGGGAUAACAUUUGGAAACAGAUGCUAAUACCGUAUAAUAAUUUUUACCGCAUGGUGAAAGUUUGAAAGAUGGUUCUGCUAUCACUAAGAGAUGGUCCCGCGGUGUAUUAGCUAGAUGGUGAGGUAAUGGCUCACCAUGGCGAUGAUACAUAGCCGAGUUGAGAGACUGAUCGGCCACAUUGGAACUGAGACACGGUCCAAACUCCUACGGGAGGCAGCAGUAGGGAAUCUUCCACAAUGGACGAAAGUCUGAUGGAGCAACGCCGCGUGUGUGAUGAAGGGUUUCGGCUCGUAAAACACUGUUAUAAGAGAAGAACGUCAGUGAGAGUAACUGUUCAUUGAGUGACGGUAUCUUAUCAGAAAGGGACGGCUAAAUACGUGCCAGCAGCCGCGGUAAUACGUAUGUCCCAAGCGUUAUCCGGAUUUAUUGGGCGUAAAGCGAGCGCAGGCGGUUAUUUAAGUCUGAUGUGAAAGCCUACGG